AGCAGCCGCGGUAAUUCCAGCUCCAAUAGCGUAUAUUAAAGUUGUUGCAGUUAAAAAGCUCGUAGUUGAAUUUCGGGAUCAAUAUAUCGGUCGUGCCUUCGGUACGUACUGGUAUCAUUGGUUUCUCCUUUCUGACGAACCAUGAUGUCAUUAAUUUGGUGUUAUGGGGAGUUAGGACUGUUACUUUGAAAAAAUUAGAGUGUUUAAAGCAGGUUUUAGCUUGAAUACAUUAGCAUGGAAUAAUGAAAUAGGACGUUCGAACCUAUUUUGUUGGUUUCUAGGAUCAACGUAAUGAUUAAUAGGGAUAGUUGGGGGCAUUAGUAUUCAAUUGUCAGAGGUGAAAUUCUUGGAUUUAUUGAAGACUAACUACUGCGAAAGCAUUUGCCAAGGAUGUUUUCAUUAAUCAAGAACGAAAGUUAGGGGAUCGAAGACGAUCAGAUACCGUCGUAGUCUUAACCAUAAACUAUGCCGACUAGGGAUCGGAUGAUGUUAAUUUUUUAAUGACUCA
rnacentral:rRNA from 1 species